rnacentral:lncRNA from 1 species
AAAAGGGAAAAAGUACAAAUAAAACCCAAAAGUAUGAAGUUUUCAAAUCAAAACUAAUAAAAUGUCAGAGAUUACAGGUAAGGGGGUUGGUUACACAGUGGGAAGGUGUUAGCACCCAAAGUGUCCUAGGUACUCCUAGGGAGCCCUUUUUGUAUGCAUAUGUAUUUGGUACAAAAAUGAUGUUUACAAAUAAAUAGAAUGGGGGGUGAGAAAAG